rnacentral:rRNA from 1 species
AUUGAACGCUGGCGGCAUGCCUUACACAUGCAAGUCGAACGGCAGCACGGGUGCUUGCACCUGGUGGCGAGUGGCGAACGGGUGAGUAAUACAUCGGAACAUGUCCUGUAGUGGGGGAUAGCCCGGCGAAAGCCGGAUUAAUACCGCAUACGAUCUACGGAUGAAAGCGGGGGACCUUCGGGCCUCGCGCUAUGGGGUUGGCCGAUGGCUGAUUAGCUAGUUGGUGGGGUAAAGGCCUACCAAGGCGACGAUCAGUAGCUGGUCUGAGAGGACGACCAGCCACACUGGGACUGAGACACGGCCCAGACUCCUACGGGAGGCAGCAGUGGGGAAUUUUGGACAAUGGGCGAAAGCCUGAUCCAGCAAUGCCGCGUGUGUGAAGAAGGCCUUCGGGUUGUAAAGCACUUUUGUCCGGAAAGAAAUCCUUGGCCCUAAUACGGUCGGGGGAUGACGGUACCGGAAGAAUAAGCACCGGCUAACUACGUG